ACAGGAUUUCACUGCGCACCCUUGGCUGUCCUGGGACUCUGUAGACCAGGCCAGCCUCAAUCCAACGGCCUCUGCCUCCUGAGUGCUGAGAUUGAAGGGUUGUUAGAAGAAUGGAGAACAUUUAUGCUGACUCUGACUCAUACGUGACGGCGACAAAGACAUAAGAAAAAGUGUAACUCAUCAUGACCUAAAAUACACUUUCAAAUGUG